UCUUCUCUUUUCUUUCUUCUUCUUCUGAGUAUCUCUUCUUUUUCUCGCUGUUGAUUUUGAUCGCAGAGAUUUAGCCUCUUCUGUUCGAGAUUUUCUUGUAAACCUUGUUAUCGUGAUGAACUGAGGGAAGAGAUGUUAUUACUGAAGUUGAGUUAGUUUUGGAAAAGCAGAGAUUUAGGGUUUAAUUUCAGUCUCUCAGUUAAUUGAAUUAGGGUUAGGACUUCUCAGAGGAUUGAAUUUGAGUUCAGUAUGAGUGAUGAUUAAGAUGAAUAUGAUAGUGAUUGAAGUUGAUUUAUUAAUUAGGGUUUUGCUGAGAAGAAGAGUUAUGUGUAUGAGGUUAGGGUUUGAGUUUGAGAUAAUAGAAAUUGAGAAUUGAGAUGAAUUUGAUAAAGAUGUGUGAAGCUGGGAUUGCUGGUGGUGUUUGGUUAUUGAAUACAUGACUUGGUGGUGGUCUGGUUCAGAUUUAAACAAUAGGGUAGUUUCAAAUGAAGCUGAGGCUGGUGGUGAUAUCACUGAAGUGCUAAUUGUUGUGACUGAAGAAUGAUGGUGUUGAACAAGGUGAACUGAGGAAUGGUGGUGUUAUGGCAAUAAGAGUUGUAAUUCAGUUACAUAUGAUGCAUAAGGAAGAGCUUAUAUGGAUUUGCAAUUGGAAGAGUGGAUGUUUGUAUUAUUACUGAAUUGGUUAUGCUGAGUUGGUUUAAAUUGUAGUAAUGAUGAUGUGGGUGGAGAUAUGCUGAUGUGUAAUAUCUGGAAUUGAGAAUGGUAGCAACUCUUGGUUGAUGAUGUGAUGAUGUGAUGAAGUGAUGAAGAUGAGUUUAAUUCAGUCAGUGGAGGUUCAAAUUGUAGAUAUUGCAGGUGUGGUGGUGUUGGUUGUUUGGUUGCACUGAAUUGAAGUGUAGCUGCAGCUAAAUGUAACUUUGCAGGAAUUUGAUACAACUUGGAGCUGAACUCUAAAUGGUGGUGCUGAAUUGAGAUUGAGUUAAGUAUAGAAUGAAUCUAUGAUGUACUUCAGAUUAGAAGUGAACUACAAGGGGUUAAUGGUGAAUGCUAUAAAGAACUGGUGGUGAUGGAUCUGAAGAAUUAUUAAACUUGUAAAGAAGAGAGUGAGUUGUAACUGGUGGAAGUUUAGAACUAUAGGUGUUGGUGUUGUUUUAAUGAGAUGUUGCAUGUGGAUUUAGUAAUAUUAUUAGUGCAAUUGCAAGAUGUAAUGGCUCGGUUGGAGGUGUUGUAUCUAGGUGCAGAUGAAGUUGAAUGUGCAAGUGAAUUCUCAAUGGGAAGAGGUUGUAUUUGAAGCAAAAGGUUCUUGUUGUUGUGUUUCUUUUAAAGUUUAAUUGGCAGGACAGUUGAGAAAAGGAUGAAGGCAGUGUUAGAGAUGAUGUUGAUGUAAACAGAAUUGAUUGAGAUUCAAGAAUAAGGAAUAGGGUUGUAUUUUGGUUAAGCUGUCGGGUUGUAAUUGAAGUUAGAAAUGCAUUUUUGACUUAAAGUCUUGGCAUGU